CAAUUAUUGGUUCCAUGACCGUCUCCCCUCCCCAGCUCCUGAGAAUAAUCAAUACAAAUGUUUUUUUCCUUGCCUAACUUGUGUCAGACACUUAUGCUGAACUCUUUACAAACAUCAUCUAUUAACUCUUCAGAGCAACUUUCUAAAGUGGGUAUUAUUAUUUCCAUUCUGCAGAUGAGGAAACUGAGGCCAAGGGAUCCCAGAGCUCAGAUUCAAGAGCGCAUGCAGCCCUGUGCCAUGCAGCCUUUGCUACCUUCGUAUACCUCACUUCUGCAUUCUGGGAGCACUGGUUAGACUGAAGAGCUUCUGAACUACUGGAGCUCAGAGAUUAC
rnacentral:lncRNA from 13 species